CGCAGGGAGCGACCAAACUAAAAAAGAGUGAACCGGCAGCGCCAGGCGACGCGCGGCCGGUAAAA
rfam:Cronobacter sp. DJ34 Bact_A5_1, whole genome shotgun sequence.